rnacentral:lncRNA from 1 species
CGCAACUUACCAGGCGACGUCCAACCGUCCGACGUCCAACGCACAGCCCCGACCCCCCCCCCCCCAGGUUGUGCGCAAUGCCAGCAUCCUCAAUACCUUUGGCCCAACGUAUGUUACGACUCUGGCACUCCAUAUUAUCAUACUCAGACUUCAGUCGCCAUUCCUAUACCAGCCUCCUUUCACCUCAGCUCUACGCCACGCCCUCUCAUGCCCAGCACUAUAACACCGUACGUUGCGUCAGGUUGCGUCCCCUGUCACUUGACUUCUUCAGGGGCACGCCCCAUGGAUCGCAUGGCGGUCCGCUAGUGUUCCUCGGGACUCGCCUACAUCAGCCGUGACAUCAGCCGCUUGCUUCCAUUGCCAUGUCCCUCACGGCCCUCAUGUGACACGCCAAUCUGCGGGCAUUGCAUUUCACCGGCAGAGCAGGAUUUAGCGGCCCCGGCCCAUUCGACCGGGUUGAGGGGAUCUUCCACCCAGCCGUGCCGACUGCCGAGUACUGCUCUGCGGUGCGUACGGAACGUGCAGCCCGGACGUACCCUGGAUCCAAGCUGAUGGUUGCGUUUUUUCAAGCACGUCGAUUGACGGGCAAUCACCGGAAAGCUGGUCCUGGCACAUGUUUUGUGCAUACCAGAAACGAUGCACAACUGAACCGCUUUCAUCAUACUACUGUCGAACUUGCUGAUGUUCCGAGACUGCCGAAAUGGCGCACCAGCAAUAUUUUCAGGCACGCUUUCUAGGAGAAGCAUCUGAUGUAUUUACAUGCACAAUCAAUGGAAGGGAGCGAGCAUUUGUAAACAUGCCCGAGGGUGGGCCGCAGGAGCUCGUCGGGGCCAACGAGCCUCGCAGUCGGCACGUCACGCUUGGCCCAUUCCUGUCACUGAAGAGCAGUAGCGCUCCGGACGUUAACUACAGGUUUGACUGCUCACCCAUAUACGCGACAAGCGCCGGGCGCGACUCGGUCUUCGCAAUUGACGGGCGUGUCGUGGUCCAGUUGACGCCGGCUAGCAACGCCGACGAC